rnacentral:snRNA from 1 species
GGAUGUGAGGGCAGAUAUGGCUGCCACAUCUGUCACCCCAUUCAUUGCCAGGUUGGAUUCGGCUGAUCUGGCUAGCUAGGUGGGUGUCCCCUUCUUCCCUCACCACUCCAUAUGCAUCCUGCACACCUGGUCAAAGAGGACACUCUUCCCCAUCACUGGAGGACUGUUCUUUAGUCAAGGGUAUAUGGGCAGCUGUGCUCCCCUGCUAGAACCUCCCAACAAGCUCUCAAAGACAGUGAUCUCCAAUUCAAUGAACCAAAAUGCUGACCAAUAUUAAAACAAAGGAUUU